GUUGUGGCUCAGUGGUAGAGCACUUGCCUAGCAUGUAUGAGGCAAUGGGUUCAAUACCCAGCAAC
rnacentral:tRNA from 1 species